rnacentral:lncRNA from 1 species
GCUAUAGAUGAAAAUGUAGGAGCAGCAGCAAGAGAUGGAAGAAGGAGACCAACUGAGCCGCAUUCAUGGACUCUGUGCUAGAGGGCCUGACUCUUCCACCCCAGGGCCACACAUGCGGGGACAGCAAAGGAUAAUAAAUCCCAUGGAUCAUCCUUCCAGACUCUUCCCAUUGGCGAUGCCAUUAGAAGACUGGCUCAACCUGGAGGCAGCUGCGUGCUGUUCCUGACAUUACCAGACCUGCCCACUCUCCCCUGGAUCCCAACAUCACCGUCUACCUGGGUCCUCAUUCCUGUAACCCAACGAUGGCCUCCUAAAUUAGCAAAGUGCUUUGGCUCCUUGUCUAUAACAAAGGCUCUUUUUGAACCUCAUCAGUGAAACUAUGACAAAUAUUUUGUAAAUGGCUCUCUAAAAGCACAGCUCGACACGUGCGCACUCACACGCACACACAAUGGCGUGUUUAGAUGCUCACAUGCGCUCUCUGCACAGGGCUGCAGCAUUUUCUCCCCUUCAAGUUUGCUCCCAUUGUACUGUAUGUAUCAACUGCACAAGGCAAUCAGCCAAAGAGAGAUUUAAACAUAUGGACUAAAUUUCAUGUCUUUGGAAAACAUGGUAGAGCAAGACAGCAAUAAGCUCUUCCACUCUGCUCUCUGGGGCUGCCACUUGGCUGGGGAGGGGCCAUUUUACACCUGGGCCAAAUCAUCCUGGGGCUCCCGCUCAAAGCGCCACUCUCAUGUCUGCAACGGCCUGUGGAAAUAUGCAAAGCCCCCUUUGAAAGCUCUGCGGUGCUGCUUAGCGGUGUUCUUUGCACCCUGAACAAUGCUCACUCACAUGCAAGACCUGCCCAUGGACAUACCAGGAUUAGCAAAGCAAUCCACGGUCCUGAAUUUCUGUGGGUGCCUGCAUUUGCUAUGCUACAAGGGGAAGAGAUUGUCAUUUACAGUGAAAAAUAAAGGUGGUGUUAAUUAAAUUUAUUUUCCUAAGUGCCGACGUCUCCAGACCUCUAUUCCUUUUGUAAGGAAAGCUUAUCAGAUGGAAUGAUCACAAUGGCGACGGUGAAAGUUCUACAGCGUUUGUGAGAAAAAACCUGGUAUCUGGCUUCUGACGUUUCAGUACAAUCUUCUAUUGUGCAUCUGGAUGACAUCACUGUUGUGUCUUUGCAGAGAUGUGCACGCAGGGCCCUAACUCUCCAGGAGCUGCUACGGACAGGCCCCGGUAAUCCCGACGACUUAGUGGAUCCUGUGCCUCCCAAGGGUGGCGCCCACGGUGACUGCACACUUGUCACAGACUGGCAGGCCAUUUGUCUGCUGCAGCCCACCAAAUCCCACAGAUCCUUCUGGAUCCUUUGCAGCAGGCUUUUCAUACCUUGAGUCUUAAUGUUCACAUGAAAAAGCAACUGCUGUUUGCUGGGCUCGUAAAAGUCUUGUUAGAAAUUAACACCUUGUGUGAAUAAAAACAUCAAGUAAGUA